AAAUGGAAAGUCAUAUCUCAUGUCUUCUAGCUGAUCCUACAACCAUGUGUUUUAUGUUCAUUGUAACAAGCUCCAUGUUCUUUUGCACAAGCUACGAGCUACAGAGAGCUCGUUAAACAAAUGUGCAGAUGUGGUACUUAGGGACACGGUUUAGUGGGCAAUAUUGGUGGUAGGUGGACGGUUGGACUAGAUGAUCAUAGAGGUCUUUUCCAACCUUAGUGAUUCUAUGACUUUAUGGUCUUCAGCCCCAGGACUUGGGAAGCUUUGAGAUAUGAAAUAAUAGGAUCAUGGUUACCUUCCAAUGCAAAAGUGCAAUUCAGUAACCCUGACUUUUUUAAAAUAGAAAAAUUACAUUUUGUGAAACUUAAUUUGUCUUCUUAUCCUUGUGGGGAUGUUCUGAUUCUAUGAUUCAGUGAGGAGGAGGAGAAGGGGGACUAGCAUAUUUAACCCAGAACUGUUGUGCAAGUGCUGACUUUGGCAGUUUCUCAGAGCGUGACUUGGGAUGAAUCACCUCAUCCUGUGUGCCACUUACCCCCAUGCGAAGGGCAGCAGGAGAUCUCUGUUCUCAAAACAGGAAGAAGCUGCUCUGCCCUCGUGAUUCCCUGCAGGCAAUCUGUGUCAUCCUAUGCUCAAUGACAGGAGCUCCAGUGUCAAGGAAGCUGAUGCCCUUGUACAGGAGGGGGCACAUUAUUAACUAACUAACAUGAUUGUAGGGGACCAUUCUCUGGCACUAAACAUUUAAAGAGGAAAAAAACUCUAAAGGUGACAAUUUAGAUCAAGAGAGCAUUCUUCAGAUCAGAACAGACCAGGUGUUUGCUACAGGGUAGAGCAAUAAGGGUGCCAGAUAGAAGGAACUGGAUGCAAAGGAUUGUGAGCAUAUUUACAGCCAUCUGGCACCCUCUAAUUAUCCAAAUGAUGAGGCUGCCUGAGCACUCACCAAAAUGUGGAGAGGGAGGGAAGGCAGGAUUUUGUUUGGGCAGAGGAUCUUGAGUGCUACAUGCUGUCAACGUAUGUUUUGUGAAAUAUUUUAUAUCACUUACAAGAUUAUUUAUAUUAGUGGAGAUGUAAGAAAAUGGUUCCAGAAGAACAUGGAAAGGUUACUCCUUUUGUAUUUUUCCUUUCAGGUUUCCAAAAAUCAAGUCAUAGGAAAGAACAGGAGCUAAACAGCACUGAGCUGACCUGUGCCACUCUCAUUCAGUCAGGAACUGGACUCUACUGACAAAUUAUUUGUGCUAUUGUGGUAAAAAGUAAGAUACUGAUCUUAAUACGUGAUAUUUGCAGUUGUUUGCACACCACAGCAGAUACCAAAGUAUCUAUCGUGUGCCCUAGGUAAUCUGGAUUUUUCUUUCUCAAUAGCAGGACAAGCGCACCUUACCUAUAGCAGUGUUAAUUACAUUAAGCCAGGACAGUCACUGUCCUGGGCUCUAACCUCAGGCAGCUUCUGCUCCUGCUCCCUGAAAUACAGUGGCUGAGAUGAACAAGUGAUUUUAGCCACUUGUAAACAUGCACUGCAGAAACAAGAAUUAAAUCAGAAUUUCACAUCCAGCACAGAAAUAAAAGAUGAAUGUUAGCUAAAUAGCA
ensembl:lncRNA